UUGAUUAGAAUCUACGCAGCAUCAUACCUGCCCUCCUGCGGUUCGCAGCUCUCUCUCUCUCUCUCCGCCUUUGGCUCUUGCUCGCGUGUCACUUGUUCAUCAAUACCCCCAACUAAACCCUUAACCGUUCAAGAUGAUGCGCCGUGCCAUUGCUCAGCCCGUCGCCCGUCGCGCGGCGGCCGCCUCCAGUGCGCUCGUGGUUGCCCCUCGCCAGGCCUCCACUGUCGCCCUCUCCGUCCAGGGCCUGCACUACGUCGGCACCGGUCUCGCCGCCAUCGCCCUCGGUGGUGUUGGCUUGGGUAUCGGUGCCAUCUUUGGCUGCCUGCUGAUAGGCUGCGCUCGCCAGCCCAACCUGACCAAGAUGCUCUUCAACUACGCCAUUCUCGGCUUCGCCCUGACGGAGGCCAUUGGCCUGUUCGCGCUGAUGCUCGCCUUCCUCAUGCUCUUCUCGUAGGGUACUUGACGUCUGCGGUUGCCUCUGUGUCUGCCUUGAUCUCUCGAUGACGGUUGUGAUUGCUUGGCAGUGCUGAGCUGCGGCCGUAGUGAAGUCAAGAGGGAGGUGGAAGAGGAGGGCGUGUGGCAUCUUCCCGAGUGUGAGUGUAAAUAUAUAUAUAUAUUCAUUUAUUUAUGCGUAUGUGUGGCGAGCAGGGCUGAAGAAAGGUAGAGGGGGAGGUGGCCGCCCGCCUCUCCAUUACACAUCGCUACUCCCUAUCGCACCCACCCACCAACCCCUCCGCCUACGUAAUCAUGCAUCCGUCCUCCCAUCCUUGACCAUGAACGGCACCACGUCUGUUUAGCCCAUGGCACACAUGCACGUACGCAUGUGCAGCUCCAUCAUUUCCUGCCUGCUGCACCUACCUGUGUAUUGUGUGUGUGUGUGUGUGUGUGUGUGUGUGUAUCGGUGUGUCUUUCAGGCAUCUGGGACUGUAGCGAUGUUUCUCCAGUCGCCGCCAGCCCCGCCACUACCACUACAUACACACACACACGCACACCUCCCCUUUUUCAUGUUGCGUCGAGUGUACGGUUUUGGUAUCUCUUCGACUGUCAGCAUCGCCCUCUUCCUCUCCUCGCCCUUUCUGUGAGCAUCGCGGCACUGCAGGAGAGGUGUGCGCGCGUGUGCUUACAGAGUUGGAAAAUAAUGUAACAUAUAUAAGCAAGGGAACAGCAAAGGCGAAAACUAAGAUGACAGCGCAGGUGCAAGAUCGCAGCUGAAAGCGCGCUCGCACCGAAUAGGGCGUAAAGGCGAAACGUUGAACGUUGGGGGAGAGGGCGCUCCCCUUCCACUCCUCCUCAUCUCCGCCUCAUGGGGCGCUGGGCCAGACAAUGCCCUCACAGGAU
rnacentral:misc_RNA from 1 species